GAUUUUUGGACAAUGGGUGAAAGCCUGAUCCAGCAAUGCCGGGUGCAGGAUGAAGCUCUUCGGGUUGUAAACUUCUUUUGUAGGGAACGAAAAGCUUUGGGUUAAUAUACUGCAGUCACGACGGUACCGACAGAAUAAGCAAUGGGUAACUACGUGCCAGCAGCCGCGGUAAUCCGUAGGGUGCAAGCGUGAAUCGGACUUCAUGGGCGUGAAACGUGCGCAGGCGGUGUUGUAAGACAGAGGUGAAAUCCCCGGGCUCGACCUGGGAACUGCCUUUGUGACUGCAAGGCUAGAGUACGGCAGAGGGGGGUGGAAGUCCUCGUGUAUCAGUGAAAUGCGUAGAUAUGCGGAGGAACACCGAUGGCGAAGGCAACCCCCUGGGCCUGUACUGACGCUCAUGCACGAAAGCGUGGGGAGCAAACA
rnacentral:rRNA from 1 species